rnacentral:lncRNA from 1 species
GAGGGAGUUCCAAUGAAGGUAACCGGAUGCUUCCUGUCUGCAAGAGAAGACCAGAGACCACUGUGUGUUCCAUGCUCCUGAGAAGUGGAUGGUAAGCCAAGUUUCUACAGCUAGACGAUGAAGUAUGGUGCAGUAGGUGAAUCUACAAGUGGACACAUGAACACUUCACCACACCUUUCUACCUCCCUAGAGCAUCUUCAUUCACAUUCCCAACUCUUAAGAACAUGCACGUGUGUGUGUGUGUGUGUGUGUGUGUGUGUGUGUGUGUGUGUACAGGCUACUAGCUUGAGGUUCCUGCCUUAAGGGAAGGGCACAUUCCUGUCACUCAACACUACGGGAAUCCCAGUCCUGAAGUGACUUUAAGAUCUCACAGCUGCCAACAGGCCUCUGAGGCCUUGGGGUGGAGGGAAACCAAGAGCUCUAACACAGUGUGACCAGGCCUUUCCACAUGAAGCUGGACGGCCUAUGCCACACACAGGCAUAUUGAGGGCUCUGAGCGGUGGCCACCCGCAUCCUACAGAGCCCUGCAGUGGUUAUGUUUGAGUCGGGAAAUCUGCUGGGGACAAAUAACCCAUGCACACAGGAGCACACAAGAGAAGUGGAGUGGGAGGAUCCAGGUCCUAGUCCAGCUCUGCCCCUCCAAGGCAUGCACAGGUCCAGUGAGCUCCUGUGGGGCAGGCAGAGCAGGAUGGCUGCUGAUGAGAGAACAAGGAGAGGCCCUGUGUGCCUCAGCUGCAUGCUGC